GUGCUCUCGGGCCCCGCCCGUCACCGCCCAUUGGCGCUGGCGCCGGGCGGGGGUGCGGGCGGGGCAGCAGUUCGGAGUCCGGUGCGCGCGGGCGGGGUCCCCAUUGCCUGCCACGCACCCGGACUAGCGACUCCCCUGGGCCUCCUCGCCAUGGACGCGGACGACUCCCGGUCGCGCAAGGGCUCCUUGCGGAAGUUCCUGGAGCACCUCUCCGGGGCUGGCAAGGCCAUCGGCGUGCUGACCAGCUGCGCGGAUGCUCAAGACGUCCACACGGAAGCUGUCCAGGUGGCUCUGGCCAAACCCAAAGAGCAUAAGAUGGCCGGUGCCUAUGCCUUCCAAAUGCAGGUCCCUGGACGUGCAGACCUCCAUGGAUGCCUACACCCCUCCAGGUAAGGCACACGCUCCCUGACACGGCCUCCUGAACAUGUUGGGCGCCUCAGAAUUGACCACUAGCCCAGCAGUUGGGAUUUUGCCUUCAAAAUCAUGGUGCAGAAAUGCAGAUUUUGUGAACCAGAAGUCCAAAAACAGUGUAUGAGUUAAACGUGGAAGGAAAAGUAACAUUAUGUAUCUGUACAAAUACACAUUUUUAACUUUUCAUCUAGACUCAUACAUAUGAUACAUACCAGUAAAAUCCCACACAGUUUUAUUCAUUUAAUUCUUUAUAGGGAAAAGGGAAGAGUGUGUAACCCUCUGGGUGGAAUUGGACUUUUCUUCUGAUUAGGCUGGUGCAUACGUGUUCUCAAAUCUUCAGACAAGUGUGUUAUAUUGGAUUGUUUUAGAACAAGCGAAUUGGACAGUUUAGGCAGUUACCCGAAUCAGGGCAUAAACUUUGCGUGCAAUGUGCCAGCUAGUAUUUUAGUUCCUGCAGGCCAUAAGGUCUCUCAAAACCACUCAACUCUGCCCUCAGCCAUGGGUGAUAGCAAGUGCAUAUGGCUGUGUACCCAGAAAACUUUAUUUACAAGAAUAAUGGACCAGAUUUGGUGCACAGACCUGCCAACCCCUGAUCUAAAUUACUGAAGUUAAUAGCCAAUUUAUAUUUCUGCUAUAUAAUACUGCUUUUCUUUAAUCUUGAAUUUUACAUAACUACCCCAAUUCUCUAUUUUCUCUGCCCAAAUAAUUAUAAACUACAUUUCAUGAUCUUCACACCCAAGUAAAGCAGAAAGUUUAGUUAUCCAGAUACUUGUUAGAGACACGGAUUGAACCUACACUAUUUGGUGUUUAGGUUCUGUGAUUUUGAUUCCAACAUUAUUCAUGUCAUUGUUGCAAGCUUGUCUUCUCAAAGGACCUGAAUCACCUUACAUCCCACGUUGAAGAUACAUAUCACUUUAAAUGACACCGCGUUUUUCCUCCAAUACAAGAGAAACUGAAGGUACAAUGUGAAUAGUUGAAAAUG
rnacentral:lncRNA from 1 species